GACGAACGCUGGCGGCGUGCUUAACACAUGCAAGUCGAACGGAAAGGCCCUGCUUUUGUGGGGUGCUCGAGUGGCGAACGGGUGAGUAACACGUGAGUAACCUGCCCUUGACUUUGGGAUAACUUCAGGAAACUGGGGCUAAUACCGGAUAGGAGCUCCUGCUGCAUGGUGGGGGUUGGAAAGUUUCGGCGGUUGGGGAUGGACUCGCGGCUUAUCAGCUUGUUGGUGGGGUAGUGGCUUACCAAGGCUUUGACGGGUAGCCGGCCUGAGAGGGUGACCGGCCACAUUGGGACUGAGAUACGGCCCAGACUCCUACGGGAGGAAGCAGUGGGGAAUAUUGCACAAUGGGCGGAAGCCUGAUGCAGCCACGCCGCGUGCGGGAUGACGGCCUUCGGGUUGUAAACCGCUUUCGCCUGUGACGAAGCGUGAGUGACGGUAAGGGGUAAAGAAGCACCGGCUAACUACGUGC
rnacentral:rRNA from 1 species